AGUGGGGAAUAUUGCACAAUGGGGGAAACCCUGAUGCAGCCAUGCCGCGUGUGUGAAGAAGGCCUUCGGGUUGUAAAGCACUUUCAGUAGGGAGGAAGGUAGUGUAGUUAACACCUGCACUAUUUGACGUUACCUACAGAAGAAGCACCGGCUAACUCCGUGCCAGCAGCCGCGGUAAUACGGAGGGUGCGAGCGUUAAUCGGAAUUACUGGGCGUAAAGCGCAUGCAGGCGGCCUGUUAAGUCAGAUGUGAAAGCCCGGGGCUUAACCUCGGAAUUGCAUUUGAAACUGGCAGGCUAGAGUCUUGUAGAGGGGGUAGAAUUUCAGGUGUAGCGGUGAAAUGCGUAGAGAUCUGAAGGAAUACCAGUGGCGAAGGCGGCCCCCUGGACAGAUACUGACACUCAGAUGCGAAAGCGUGGGGAGCAAACAGGAUUAGAUACCCUGGUAG
rnacentral:rRNA from 1 species